AUUGAACGCUGGCGGCAGGCCUAACACAUGCAAGUCGAGCGGUAGCAGUCCUUCGGGAGCUGACGAGCGGCGGACGGGUGAGGAAUGCUUGGGAAUCUGCCCGAUAGAGGGGGAUAACUACGGGAAACUGUAGCUAAUACCGCAUGAUCUCUUAGGAGCAAAGCGGGGGACCUUCGGGCCUCGCGCUAUCGGAUGAGCCCAAGUGGGAUUAGCUAGUUGGUAGGGUAAAGGCCUACCAAGGCGACGAUCUCUAACUGGUCUGAGAGGAUGAUCAGUCACACUGGAACUGAGACACGGUCCAGACUCCUACGGGAGGCAGCAGUGGGGAAUAUUGCGCAAUGGGCGAAAGCCUGACGCAGCCACGCCGCGUGAGCGAUGAAGGCCUUCGGUCGUAAGACUCUGUGGGGGAGGAAGAAAAGACCGGUGAAGAGCGGACCUGACGUAUCCCUUAGCAAGCACCGGCUAACUACCGUGCCAGCAGCCGCGGU
rnacentral:rRNA from 1 species